rfam:Hordeum vulgare subsp. vulgare, WGS project CAJW01000000 data, contig: morex_contig_152011
AUAUUGGCUCUUUUGUUAGAUCGAAGAAAUGCAUAUGAGAGCCACUUAAUAUUUUCAUAAUGGUAUUCU